rnacentral:rRNA from 1 species
UACGUAGGGUGCGAGCGUUAAUCGGAAUUACUGGGCGUAAAGCGUGCGCAGGCGGUUCGACGAGUCCGAUGUGAAAGCCCCGGGCUCAACCUGGGAAUGGCAUUGGAAACUGGCGGGCUGGAGUGUGGCAGAGGGGGGUGGAAUUCCGCGUGUAGCAGUGAAAUGCGUAGAGAUCGGGAGGAACAUCAGUUGCGAAGGCGGCUCUCUGGACCAGCACUGACACUGAGGCACGAAAGCGUGGGGAGCAAACAGG